UGGGGAAUAUUGCACAAUGGGCGAAAGCCUGAUGCAGCGACGCCGCGUGAGGGAUGACGGCCUUCGGGUUGUAAACCUCUUUCAGCAGGGACGAAGCGCAAGUGACGGUACCUGCAGAAGAAGCACCGGCUAACUACGUGCCAGCAGCCGCGGUAAUACGGAGGGUGCAAGCGUUAUCCGGAAUUACUGGGCGUAAAGAGUUCGUAGGCGGUUUGUCGCGCCGUUUGUGAAAACCAGCAGCUCAACUGCUGGCUUGCAGGCGAUACGGGCAGACUUGAGUACUGCAGGGGGGACUGGAAUUCCUGGUGUAGCGGUGAAAUGCGCAGAUAUCAGGAGGAACACCGGUGGCGAAGGCGGGUCUCUGGGCAGUAACUGACGCUGAGGAGCGAAAGCGUGGGUAGCGAACAGG
rnacentral:rRNA from 1 species